rnacentral:rRNA from 1 species
GACGAACGCUGGCGGCGUGCUUAACACAUGCAAGUCGAACGGUAAGGCUCCAGCUUGCUGGGGUACACGAGUGGCGAACGGGUGAGUGACACGUGGGUGACCUGCCCUGCACUUCGGGAUAAGCCUGGGAAACUGGGUCUAAUACCGGAUAGGACCAUGGUGUGGAUACUGUGGUGGAAAGUUUUUUCGGUGUGGGAUGGGCCCGCGGCCUAUCAGCUUGUUGGUGGGGUAAUGGCCUACCAAGGCGGCGACGGGUAGCCGGCCUGAGAGGGUGGACGGCCACAUUGGGACUGAGACACGGCCCAGACUCCUACGGGAGGCAGCAGUGGGGAAUAUUGCACAAUGGGCGGAAGCCUGAUGCAGCGACGCCGCGUGGGGGAUGACGGCCUUCGGGUUGUAAACUCCUUUCACCAUCGACGAAGGGUUUCUGACGGUAGAUGGAGAAGAAGCACCGGCUAACUACGUG